CGUUCCCGGGCCUUGUACACACCGCCCGUCACACCACGAGAGUUUGUAACACCCGGAGUCGGUGGGGUAACCGUAAGGAGCCAGCCGCCUAAGGUGGGACAGAUGAUUGGGGUG
rnacentral:rRNA from 1 species